CUUGAGCUCCCCUGAUCUCCACCCCCGAACGCCGCCACCACCAUCUGGAUCGCAUUGCCACCGCCAUCCUCCUUGGAUCUCGUCGCCGAGCCCCCGCCCCCCGACCAACUCGCUCCGGUGCCCCACCCCGGACCCCCCACCGCCAGUGCCGAACUCCGCCCUGAACCUCCUCGCCAUCGGUGCCCCUCCCCACCUCUCCCGCCUCGGCCCGGAGCCCCUGCCGCCAGUGCCCUGCUUGCCACCGCCCCAGUCAACACCAGGCAACGCCGUCCCUGCCAACCCCAGGUGCCGCCGCCGCCCUGGCAAUCCCAGGCCCCGCCGGGAUCCUGCUAUGAUGCUGCUCCCGCAACGUGAUGCCUGCCUCCUCUAGCGAUGAUGUCGCCGGCCCGUGCCACCACGUGCAGUCGCGGCCCCUGUCCGCCGCCACUGCCGCCCCAACACCGAUGAUGCCCACAUCUCCUCUUCCAACUCCGAAAACCCUACUGUAUCACAUUUGUUUGUCGUUAUCCUCUGAAAAUGGCAUUAUUACAGCGCGCCUCUUUCCUCCAAUAAUAUGCUGAAGCUACUCCUUACAGCAAGGAAACGGUGGAUGAAUCUUCACCAGUUACAAAUGUAUGUUGAAGCUACUCCUUACACCAAGGAAACGGUGGAUGAAUCUACACAAGUUACAAAUGUAUGCUGAAGCUACUCCUUACAGCAAGGAAAUGGUGGGUGAAUGCCUUCUGUAUUCAGAUAUUUGGUUCAUGUCGGACAUCGACGGCGAUAUGUGCAGAAAUCUUCUAGUAUCUCUUUUGCCUCCCCUUUUCCCUCUUCCAUUUUGUUGUUUGGAAAUCUAUGGUGGGCCUUUGAUUCACAAAGACUUCGGCAAUUAUUUGUACAAUAUAUAUGCAUAGGAAUUUUGUUCUCCAUUUUGUUUAUUGGUACAUGUGUGAUGAUUUUCAUGUUAUGAAUAUAUUGGUUUGUGUGAAGUUCAUGUACGACUACCCAAGGAGUUCAACAAUCACUCACCACGAAGGAAGAAGAGGUGAGCAACG